UACGGGUAGGGUGCAAGCGUUAAUUCGGAAUAGCUAGGGCGUAAACGUGCGCAGGCGGUUCUAUAAGACCAGAUGUGAAAUCCCCGGGCUCACCUGGGAACUGCAUUUGUGACUGUAGAGCUGGAGUACGGCAGAGGGGAUGGAAUUCCGCGUGUAGCAGUGAAAUGCGUAGAUAUGCCGGAGGAACACCGAUGGCGAAGGCAAUCCCCUGGGCCUGCACUGACGCUCAUGCACGAAAGCGUGGGGAGCAAACAGG
rnacentral:rRNA from 1 species